UUUAAAGUGACAGAUUUAUGUGAUGGAUUUAAGAUCCUUUUAUGCUAUUGCCUUUAAAA
rnacentral:tRNA from 1 species